AGUGAACGCUGGCGGUAGGCCUAACACAUGCAAGUCGAACGGCAGCACAGUAAGAGCUUGCUCUUACGGGUGGCGAGUGGCGGACGGGUGAGGAAUACAUCGGAAUCUACUUUUUCGUGGGGGAUAACGUAGGGAAACUUACGCUAAUACCGCAUACGACCUACGGGUGAAAGCAGGGGAUCUUCGGACCUUGCGCGAUUGAAUGAGCCGAUGUCGGAUUAGCUCGUUGGCGGGGUAAAGGCCCACCAAGGCGACGAUCCGUAGCUGGUCUGAGAGGAUGAUCAGCAACACUGGAACGAGGAAACGGUCCGGCCUCCUACGGGAGGCAGCAGUGGGGAAUAUUGGACAAUGGGGGCAAGCCUGAUCCGGCCAUACCGCGUGGGUGAAGAAGGCCUUCGGGUUUUAAAGCCCGUUUGUUGGGAAAGAAAAGCAGCAGGUUAAUACCCCGCUGUUCUGACGGUACCCAAAGAAUAAGCACCGGCUAACUUCGUG
rnacentral:rRNA from 1 species